ACAAUAAAACAUUUGAUUUGCAUUCAAAAAAUAUUGAAUAUCAAUUUAUCUUAAAUAAUUAAAAUAA
rnacentral:tRNA from 1 species